rnacentral:misc_RNA from 1 species
UUUCCGUAGGUGAACCUGCGGAAGGAUCAUUCAUAAUAAAGUGUUUUAUGGCACUUUUUAAAAAUCCAUAUCCACCUUGUGUGCAAUGUUAGAUCUCGUCAAUCUUGGCGAGAUUUUUAUACAUCAACUCAUUCCUUAACUAAUUUGUCUGAAAAAUACUAUGAAUACUUAAUUCAAAAUACAACUUUCAACAACGGAUCUCUUGGCUCUCGCAUCGAUAAAGAACGCAGC